rnacentral:misc_RNA from 1 species
UACGGAGGGUGCAAACGUUGUUCGGAAUCACUGGGCAUAAAGCGCGCGUAGGCGGCCUCGCCAGUGUGAAGUGAAAUCCCACGGCUCACCCGUGGAACUGCUUUGCAUACUGCGUGGCUCGAGGACGGUAGGGGAGAGCGGAACUCCUGGUGGAGCGGUGAAAUGCGUAGAUAUCAGGAGGAACACCGGCGGCGAAGGCGGCUCUCUGGUCCGUUACUGACGCUGAGGUGCGAAAGCCAGGGUAGCGAACGGG